CAAUAGCGUAUAUUAAAGUUGUUGCGGUUAAAAAGCUCGUAGUUGGAUUUCUGCUGAGAACGACCGGUCCGCCCUUUGGGUGUGUAUCUGGCUCUUUCUUGGCAUCUUCUUGGUGAACGUUGCUGCACUUGACUGUGUGGAGCGCUACCCAGGACUUUUACUUUGAGGAAAUUAGAGUGUUUCAAGCAGGCAUACGCCUUGAAUACAUUAGCAUGGAAUAAUAAGAUAGGACCUCGGUUCUAUUUUGUUGGUUUCUAGAGCUGAGGUAAUGAUUAAUAGGGAUAGUUGGGGGCAUUCGUAUUUAACUGUCAGAGGUGAAAUUCUUGGAUUUGUUAAAGACGGACUACUGCGAAAUCAUUUGCCAAGGAUGUUUUCAUUG
rnacentral:rRNA from 1 species